CCACCUUCACCAGGCAGUGGAACCCUCAGGCUCCUGAGCGUCAAGAUGGUUCAUGCUAAGAGAUGGACCCUGAAGGAGCACUUUGUUGGCAAUCCUACUAGUAGUGACUUUGAGUCAAAGACAGCUGAGCCCCCACCCUUAAAAAAUGGAGAGGUCCUGCUUGAAGCUUUGUUCCUCACCAUGGAUUCUUACAUGACAGUGGCAACCAAAAUACUGAAGGAAGGUGAUACAAUGAUGGGGCAACAAGUGGCCAGAGUUGUGGAAAGUAAAAAUAUAGCCUUACUAGCAGGAACCAUUGGAGUGGCUCCCUCAGGCUGAACAAGCACACUCCAUUUCUGAUGGGAAAGAUCUUGAAAAGCUGCCAACAGAGUUGUCCUACACAGUGCCACUGUCUUACUUUGGCUGACUUGACCUCUGUGGUGUGAAGGGUGGAGAAACAGUGAUGGUUAAUGCAGCACCUGGAGCUGUGGGCUCUGCGGUGGGGCAGGUUGCAAAGCUCAAGGGCUGCAAAGCAGUUGGAGCAGUAGGGCCCGACAAAAAGACUGCCUACCUUAAAAAGCUUGGAUUUGUUGUUGUCUUUAACUACAAGACAGUAGAGUCUUUGAAGAAACUUUGAAGAAAGCCUCUCCUGAUGGAUACGAUUAUUAUUUUGAUAAUGUAGGUGGAGAGUUUUCAAACAUUGUUAUCUCUCAGAUGAAGAAAUUUGGAAGAAUUGCCAUAUGAGGAGUCAUCUACAUGUAACAGUACGGGGCCACCUUCCCCAGGCCCACCACCAGAGAUUUUUAUCUAUCAGGAGCUUCACAUGAAAGAUUUCAUCAUCACCUGCUGGAAAGGAGAUGCCCGCCAAAAAGCUCUGAAGGACUUGCUAAAAUGGGUCUCAGAGGGUAAAACCCAGUUCAGGAAUAUAUCACUGAAGGAUCUGAACACAUGCUAGCUGCAUUUAUGGGAAUGCUGA